GGCAAGAUGGCCGAGCGGUCCAAGGCGUGUGACUCAAGCGAAAGCUUACCUGCGCAAGCGCGGGUUUUCUCAUCUGGGUAUCCAGGCGCGGGUUCAAAUCCCGCUCUUGUCA